UAUCCCCUCCAGAACUCCGCAGUAAGAUCAGAAUUCCAGAGAGAGAAGGAUUCGGAGUUUGGGUGCAUCGGAUCGACGGUGGAGGAUGCUGAAUGUGUUCGAUCGGACGGUGGCGAAGAGCCCCGAGGGGCUGCGGAACAUGGAGUCGGGGCCGGGGGAGAAUGGCCGGCGUCGGCGAAGUGGCCUCCCUGGCGGACCACUUCGUAGCCACUCGCGACGGGGCGGUGACCAUAAGACUCGGCUCUUCCGGUUCCAUGGCGUAAAUGGUGGAGAAGCAGAACCCCCUCCUCCCCAGGGGUAUUGAGAAUAAGAGGCAGUUCUUAUCAUGCAAGGGGUGCACUGCACUCAAGUACAGAAGUCUAUUUCUCUGUAAAAUUCAUAUAGCUGUUUUCCAUUUCUGAAGAUACAUGUACAUUACUACAAACAAAUGUCCACCAUUAUAUGUUGUUAGUGAAUGAUGGAUACAAAGGACAAAUAAGUAGUAAACCUUGUACCAACAGUUGGUGAAUGGGGAUUGUCAUGUUCUUUUUAUUCUUAUUAUGUCUCAUUAUUAUUUUGCUUUCCCUCAACUGGAAUCAAUAGCCAAUUUGAUGUUUAAAAUUCAUGUUUUCCUCCUUUUUUUUAUUAAAAAAAACCUUUUUUAAUCUCUGUUUCACUCAUUUUAACUUUGUCAGUGAUCCUCAGAGGCAAUGUCCACAUCCUUCGUAAUUUUUUUGCUUCACUUGGUUCUCACCUAUUAACAUUAUUAGCAAUGUUAUGGUAGCAUUCCCUUUUACUGGGGAACUGAUUCAGGAGACCAUGUUGUUCUUUUUGAGGAUGUGGAUAUCAUAAAAAAUAUCUGUGGAAAAUCAUUUGCACCAUUCCCAGAAGGUAUAAUACAGAAAACAGUUAUAGAUAAUAAAGCUAUCAAGUCCCAUAGUGAGCUUUGUUUCCUAUUCCAUAUAUGGCCUUAGUAAUUUUGUGAUGUUUCAACCAGUUGCUUCUUCACGACCUCAAGGGGAUUGCAGAGUUUUGCACAUCUUUUGAGUGAGGUGAAGUUCAUGCCAAGCAUGGUACGCUAUGCUGGCCCGAACCGGAAAAUAUAUAUGGCGUACCAUACCAUUUCGGUACUGACACUCGGUACGGAUGGCAUACCGAGUACCAGUUCGGUACCGACACUCGGUAUAGGUGGCAUACAUACACUCGGUAUGCCAAAAAGUUCCAUACUGUACCGUAUCGAUACUGUGCUAGUAUGGCACCGAUACGAGGUCCAGUACCGAGAUGACGAACCUUGAUGCCAAGGGUUGACAGCUAAGGGCAGGUGUGCGGGGCUACAUAUGAGAUUGAUGCUGAAACUAAGAAGGAAUCAGGCAUGCCAAGGGUUGACAGUGCUGCAAGCUGGUCUUCUCACUACUAAUCUACUGAGUACCAUCUACUAGGCUUUUCUUGCUUUUGCCUUUGGUAAUAGUUUACCUAUGCUUUGACUUUCUGGUCCUUUAUGGAAUGUUUUAUGAAUAAAUGGGGAACUUUAUUGCACAAAGAGUUGAGCUUUAUGUGAGUCCACUCUAUCAUUGGGACCACCUAUAAUUGUUCCAUAUCCAUGCAGGAAGUGAAACUCAAUGUUUAUUAAAGAUUCUUGCAACCAUGCGUUAUAGUUUGUAGUGCUACUAAUUGAAUAAUGCAGAUGCCUUCAUUUAUCAUAUCCUCAGAGGUACCUUAGAUGUACCCUAAGAAAAGAAGUUUUUUGGGUUGUUGAAUAUGAUCUUCGGAAACAGAUUGUCUAGCUUAAUUUUAUUUUAUAGAUUGCGUCCUGUAAACCAUAAUAAAGUUUGGAAGGUGUUAAAGCAAGACUUGAGCAGUAUAAAGUAGCUUCGGUUGUAUGUGUUGUUUUGGUGGAAGAGGGGUGUCAAGCUGAUGCUCACAUCAAUGCUUAUGUCUGUAAUGAGGAUGCCUGCUGGUGGAUGCAUGAUGGGAAUCAAGGAAAUGGAAUUAUCAUCCAACUAGUGUUUUACCAACCUAAGUGACAUUUUGCAGCUUGAUGUCUGCAACUUAUAGUAUUUUGAUAUCUAUUGACUUUAAUUGCUAAUUUUAUAAAAUAUUUGAUGUCUUAUUGACUUUUAAUUGCUAAUUUUAUAUAAUUUUGAUGUCUGCAGUGGCAUUGUUUCUUGUUUUCUCUCACUUUGUUGAUUUGUUGAUGUGCUUCCUGCUUUGUAUAAUCUAAUGUCUACUGGGUACCAACCACAAGUAGGGUGGCAAUGGAGGCUAACAGCCUGCUGAUCCACUCAACUUCCAGAAAAAAAUUAGAUCCAAUAUGGAUAUCACUCUGGAGACCUGAUACAUGAGUUCAAUUAUAACAGUUUUUUUGUUAAAUAAUUUGCAAAUGCUUGUCCAUUAUGUAUUCAUACAAAAAUCAUAUAUGUCAUCACCCGAUGUUUGAUUCAAA